CAUCGACUACGAAUAGCGACCGGGGAUUUGUCUUUCCGUUCUCGAAUUCCACGGUGUGCACAUGUUUGUAGGCUACUAGCAAAUUAAAUUAAAGGCAAAGGCGCCAAUGCAUAAAUGGAGAAAAUGGAAUCCACAUUUGGAAGCAUGAAAGUUUCCUGAUAAGCAAAUAUGGUGAAAAUUUUGGUAUAAAACCUUAAAGGCGGAAACACUUCACAAAGAAGAUGGCUGCUCAAAUAUCGAGAAAAGACAUUCGAAGGAUUUGGAAUUUUCCAAAAAGCUAGGGCUGAAUAUCGAUAAAUUUUCGUUCAACUUCAGCAUAAUGCAAAGAUAUCUCUUAUUUUGCAAGCUGUAUUCAAAGAUUAAUAACGCUUCAAUCGCGAAAUAUAGGUGUUGUGAUUAAA